rnacentral:piRNA from 1 species
UGAACAUCUUAGGCUAGUGUGUCGACUUA